UGCUCCAGUGAAAAAAAUCCAGUGAAUACCUAUACGUCUUAUUCAGCCUAAAACUCCUGAAAAAAAAAGUCUGGCCAAAAAUCUGAAAAAAGUUAUAUAAGUGUCUAAAUCUAAAAAUUAAUAAAUCUUUCAGUAACAAUGAAAACAGGAAACGCUGAUUCCCGUUUGUUCCCUUCAAAACUACUGAGCUGCUUAGCGGAGACACAUUCAGUGUUACUGUGAGGGACAUCAGACAAGUAACUUAUAAGCUCAAGUAUCAAGAGAGGAAACAACAGACAAGAACUUCUCCAUUACAGAGUAGAGACAGAUGGACAUCCAGUUUGUGAGCAUCUUCUCCACCACCGUCUCAGUCCUGCAGUAACCAACAUGGAGAAAAUGCUGUGGCAUUAAAUUCUACUCAGAAUUUGAGGGAUGGGGAUCUGGAGCCUAACCCAGCAGUCAAUCGGCAGAAGGCAGAAAACACCAGGGAACUCAACGCAGUCCCUGACAUGGAU